UGGUAUUUCAAAACUGCUGGUGCUAUUCUU
rnacentral:piRNA from 1 species